GGUCUUUCCACCAUGGACACUCGUUUUUUUGACAUCUUUGUUUCACAGUUAUCUAUAAACCUGAUACUGAAAACCACAAUGGUGUCAGAGAUACCCAAAACAGAUUGUUGCUGGCUUCUACUGGGACACAAUCAUUCCAUUUGUAAACAAAACGCCGUGGCGUUGGUGUUCCUCAGCCACGACAUCAGCCACUUGACCCGGCAGUCGCACUCAAAGGCGUUGCCUCGGAGGUCCCUGCAGGAAUCAAAAACUAUGUGACGCUGUCGUAAAGACGCAGGGGUCUGAUGCAAGGAGGAUGCUCACAGGGUUCAACUUUACCGGCAACGCACUUGCCAUCUUGGAGGUCCCAGUUUCACAAGGGAGGGGAUCGUGGUAGGUUUUGCAAUUACAUGUAGGAAUUCAUCUUCCCCCUUAUGUAAUGCCGCUUCCCAAUGCUGUGAUGCUACCACAACUACCUUGCAACUACCUGUGUUUCCAGCUAUUGACAUAAUAUUGGCUGUGUAUUUACUUAUUUUUCAAUGAGUACAAGCUGUAGACUGACUGCUCUGAAGUAUACAUCCAGGAUUACUUUCUAUAGUAUUGUAGAAUUAAAAGCUUGGUGAAAUGGGAGGGGUGUACUCACAGCUCUAUGAGAGAGUCCAAGCCGCUGAAGAGGUCCCGAGGCAGAGCUUUGAUGUAGUUGUUUGCCAAGGACCUAUGCGCAAUAUUAAUACAUACAGUAUAUCAAACCGUCAUCAUCCUUGCUAACUAAAAGAGUUCUGAUUUGUAAGGGUACAUACAAGUGAGUCAGGUCCCUGAGUCCUCUAAAGGCAUAUUUGGAUACAGUCUCUAUCCUGUUAUUCUCUAUAAACCUGUGAAAGGAACAAUACAUCAUACAAAAUAGAUGUGAUCGAUAUCUGCGGUCUACACAUGCAUUUAUCAUAAUGGAUUAGGAUGCACUAUUAUUCAUUUGUGUUUUUUAAGACAGUAGCUUCUAACCACCAGUCUAUUACGAAUAUAUAUAGACAACAUUUAGCUGACUUACAGAUACUCGAGAUGCGGAAGGCCUGCAAAUGCGUCAUCUCUAAUGGUUGUCAGGGAAUUGGAAUUCAGGAGCCUGAAAUAAAAGCAAACACAGAUGCGAAGAAAUUGUGAAUUUACCAUCAAUUAAAAUACUGAC